rnacentral:misc_RNA from 1 species
GCAAACUUGGUCAUUUAGAGGAAGUAAAAGUCGUAACAAGGUUUCCGUAGGUGAACCUGCGGAAGGAUCAUUACUGAGUUGGGUGCUUCUUGCACCAAACUUUUUCACCCUUGCGAAUCAAUUAUUUUGCUUGGUGGGCCAGGUUUGCCCCGCUAAUUUCCCAGCGAGUGCCCGCCAAAGUUUUUUUCAAAAAAUCUGCUGAAACGUGUGAUCUGAAUGCAAAAUAUAAAAAACUUAAAAAACUUUCAACAACGGAUCUCUUGGUUCUGGCAUCGAUGAAGAACGCAGC